rnacentral:piRNA from 1 species
UACGAAAAGAAGAUAUUCUGUCUCC